rnacentral:rRNA from 1 species
GACGAACGCUGGCGGCGUGCCUAAUACAUGCAAGUUGAGCGCUGAAGGUUGGUACUUGUACCGACUGGAUGAGCAGCGCACGGGUGAGUAACGCGUGGGGAAUCUGCCUUUGAGCGGGGGACAACAUUUGGAAACGAAUGCUAAUACCGCGUAAAAACUUUAAACACAAGUUUUAAGUUUGAAAGAUGCAAUUGCAUCACUCAAAGAUGAUCCCGCGUUGUAUUAGCUAGUUGGUGAGGUAAAGGCGCACCAAGGCGAUGAUACAUAGCCGACCUGAGAGGGUGGUCGGCCAGAUUGGGACUGAGACACGGCCCAAACGCCUACGGGAGGCAGCAGUAGGGAAUCUUCGGCAAUGGACGAAAGUCUGACCGAGCAACGCCGCGUGAGUGAAGAAGGUUGUCGGAUCGUAAAACUCUGUUGGUAGAGAAGAACGUUGGUGAGAGUGGAAAGCUCAGCAAGUGACGGUAACUACCCAGAAAGGGACGGCUAACUACGUG